GAUGAACGCUGGCGGCGUGCCUAAUACAUGCAAGUCGAGCGAACGGACGAGAAGCUUGCUUCUCUGAUGUUAGCGGCGGACGGGAGAGUAACACGUGGAUAACCUCCAUAUAAGACUGGGAUAACUUCGGGAAACCGGAGCUAAUACCGGAUAAUAUUAUGAACCGCAUGGUUCAAAAGCGAAAGACGGUCUUGCUGUCACUUAUAGAUGUAUCCGCGCUGCAUUAGCUAGUUGGUAAGGUAACGGCUUACCAAGGCAACGAUGCAUAGCCGACCUGAGAGGGUGAUCGGCCACACUGGAACUGAGACACGGUCCAGACUCCGACGGGAGGCAGCAGUAGGGAAUCUUCCGCAAUGGGCGAAAGCCUGACGGAGCAACGCCGCAUGAGUGAUGAAGGUCAUCGGAUCGGAAAGCUCUGUUAUUAGGGAAGAACAUAUGUGUAAGUAACUGUGCACAUCUUGACGGUACCUAAUCAGAAAGCCACGGCUAACUACGUG
rnacentral:rRNA from 1 species